GGUGUCCAGAAAGCCACUGGUGCCAGAGCUCAAAGUGCCAUUGUUGCUGGGCUAGGGGGUCCUGCUUUCCUUUUCCUAGCCUGCAGAGAUGCAGCCAGCAGUUGCCUGUGGGCAAAGGGACUGACCAGAGAGGAGCAAACCCAGCUUGGCUAAUGAGCACCAAUUAAAAACCUGACCUGGAAUAACCUAGCACAGGGAGGAAUGGUAGAAACUACAGGUGCUGCACAGACACCUCCCAGGGCUGUGGUCUGUGCCCUGAUACAAGACAGAACCGGUGCAGAGUGAGGCUGCUUCCCUCCAGUCACGGAGGAGAUUGAGAACAGAGCUAGGAACAGGAGUAGACUGCAAGGACCCCAGGAAAAUGAUUAUAUAUUCACAUCAUAACAUCUUAGAAGUGCAUGGAAAAUAUUGUGCUGAAGAUACACCAGCUUACUACAAGGGUCUUACGUCAUGUCUUCAACAGAGUUCCCACAAACAAGUAAUACAGGGCAGCAUUGUGCUGCUUCUGCUGCCCCUGGUCCUACUCGUCCUCUCCACUGCACCGACCAGAAAGGUGUGAGCAGUCCCACCUCAGCAUCCCACAUGCCAAAGAGAUGUGUCCAAGGGUGUUUUCCAGCCACAACCUUACACUCCUGUCCUCAGGAAAUAUUAUGGGCCAGGCUGCAAGUCCAAGAAAUUUGCCUGCUGGAGCUACUUCUUCCAAAAAUAAUUAAUAGAAGAUUGGUUACAGUCAGCCAUAGCUUCUGCAAAAAAAUCCCCUCAAAUGGAAUGGGAGCCCUCACGUGUCUGCUUGGAGGUUUUAAUCCCAGCAUAAGGUUUUGGACCUGCACUCGUGACUUCAACCACCAAAUACUGCAAAAGUCCAGUCAGACUCCCUGGGGUUGAGGUCUGCUUUCAGCUGCACUACAAGAAGCACUUCUUCUCCAUGCCUUUUACAAAGAAGAGUGAGAUUCAAUGUGGAAAACAGUAUUGCAGUAUACGUCCCCUGGAAAUACAAUUUUCCUUUCAUACUUGAAUAAUAAAACUGCAACAGGGCUUCUUUCCA
rnacentral:lncRNA from 1 species